GAUGCCAGUUAUCCCUGCCAGGGGAUCUGUUACUCCCCCUACACCCAGGAAGAUUUGGCGUUGCUUGACAACAGUUUGAGGCAGGAUAAAGAGCUCCAGGAACGAUUUCUUCGGUUUUUGGCAAUCAAAUGUGGGAGGGACCUAAAGACAACCGUCUGGCGGAUGCUUCAAAGUAUCUUCUCUAAUCACCUUUCCAUCAAUACAACCUGGACUGGAGUUGGGGAUAAAGCAUGUUUUAGAGACAUGUUCCUUAAGACCAUUGUUCAAAGAGCCAUCCUGAAGAACCCGGCAACCCAGGAUGCCACUGAUGAAGCCGUCCAGGUUAACGUUAUGCGUUACAUGAAAGGAGCAUCUGACCGAGAAGGCGGAAAAAGGCGCCGCACAACUGAGAGGGACCCACAGCCGACCCCUUAAGCCUAGGCUGACUACUGACACCCCAGCAUCACUGACAACUGGAACCCUUUCUUUAUCCUGCAGUCAGUAACAUCAAGACCCCUAAAGAAGCCAGAAGUGUCAGACUGCACUCACCCAAUCCACACUGUUCACUGUAUAUAUUAUCAUAGUGCUUAACUCUUAUUAUAUUGUUAAAUAUAGCUUGUAAAUCCUUGUACCCCAGGUCAGCAAUGCCAUUAUAAUGGUCUAUUCUACUCCAGAGUUUUAUUCUAAAUUAUUACUACUUAUCUUAUUGUUAGAAAUGGCUUGUAAAUGUGAUGUUAUACCUGAAUUUUUUUUGUGUCCUGCACAUUCUUUGGUACCAGAUAUACUCAUUACUUAUGUUUACUGGUAAUUCUUUUCAUCCCAGAGCUGACCUUUUUAUAUUAUUAACAAUUAUUGUAAGUGUUAUAAUUUUCUUGUAAGCUAAGGCAGUUUUUUUUAACAAUUUCAUUGGAAACCUGCAUGUUCUUUUGUGUGUGUGUGUAUAUAUAUAUAUAUUUUUUCUUUUUUUCUGUUAUUUAUAUUUCAGUGAUCUGACAUCAUGUUUCAAUGACAGUUACUGUACUUUGAAAUGUGGAAUUAAAACUUCAAAUGGAAA